GUACACUCCUGCGGGAGGCAGCAGUGGGGAAUAUUGGACAAUGGGCGCAAGCCUGAUCCAGCCAUGCCGCGUGAGUGAUGAAGGCCCUAGGGUUGUAAAGCUCUUUCACCGGUGAAGAUAAUGACGGUAACCGGAGAAGAAGCCCCGGCUAACUUCGUGCCAGCAGCCGCGGUAAUACGAAGGGGGCUAGCGUUGUUCGGAUUUACUGGGCGUAAAGCGCACGUAGGCGGACUAUUAAGUCAGGGGUGAAAUCCCGGGGCUCAACCCCGGAACUGCCUUUGAUACUGGUAGUCUUGAGUUCGAGAGAGGUGAGUGGAAUUCCGAGUGUAGAGGUGAAAUUCGUAGAUAUUCGGAGGAACACCAGUGGCGAAGGCGGCUCACUGGCUCGAUACUGACGCUGAGGUGCGAAAGCGUGGGGAGCAAACAGGAUUAGAAACCCCAGUAGUCCCAUGAU
rnacentral:rRNA from 1 species